UAGCUAUGGGCACCAAAUGGUCAAUCUUC
rnacentral:piRNA from 1 species